AUGUAUGGAAGGCCAUUUGGGCCAGAAGCUCCAUAUCAAGAAGUACAGACUGCAAAUGGACGUCAAAUGGGACAUAUAUUAAAUUCUCAAACUCAAAGCGGUAACAACCAAAAUGACAUGGUGGGCAUUAUGCAAAAACAAAACGAAAUCACUGCACAGUUGGUUCAGCAAAAUAUAUCCUCUGUUCUUCCUCCAAGAAAUCUGCAAAUUUUUGAUGGAGACCCUCUUCAAUAUAAAUCCUUUAUUAGAGCCUUUGAAAAUGUAGUGGAGAAGAAAACGAAUAAUCCUAGCGACUGUUUGCAGUUCCUUGAACAGUACACUAGGGGGCAGCCAAAGGAUCUUGUGCAUAGUUGUCAACAUAUACCUCCAGAUCAAGGCUAUCAAAGAGCCAAGAAUCUUCUUGCUCAGCAUUUUGGAGAUGAAUAUAAAAUUGCAUCUGGUUACAUGGAAAAAAUAUUUAACUGGACACCCGUUAAAGGUGAAGAUGUAAAAGGAUUACAAGCAUUCUCUCUGUUUCAAGUAAUGUAUAUGAGGGAACUGGACUUACCAUCUAACAUGCGGCGCAUCAUUUUAAAACUUCCUUACAAACUAAGAGAAAAAUGGAGGAAUAUGGCAUGUGAUCUGCAAGAAAGAAGUGGGCAGAGAGCUACAUUCAUUGAUCUUGUAAAUUUUAUUGAGAGACAAGUGAAAAUUGCUUUAGAUCCAGUUUUUGGAAACAUUCAAGAUCCACAACAUCCUAACGUUAAGGCCUCCUGUAGCAGCCAGCUACGACAAAGAAGGAAGGGGAGCAGCUACGUUACGAAUGUCACUCCUGUGAGGGAAGAAGCUAUGGCACGGCCUGCAGAACAUAGCACCCACUCCACUCAUUGCUGUCUUUUCUACCUGCAGAGAAAUCACACAUUAGGUCAGUGCUCACAGUUUAAAGGCAAGGCACACCGGGACAGGAUCAACUUCAUUAAGGACAAGGGUAUUUGUUUUGGUUGCCUGAAGGUAGGCCAUACAAGUAAAGACUGUAGGAGUCGAUUGGAUUGCUAUGUAUGUCAUCAGAAAAUAACAAAAAUUACGACUUUAUUCAUGAUUGUCUUCUCUUCCGGGUCUGUUGUGAACGCGACUGCUGUGACUGUUGAUGUACGACGCUGCUGA
ensembl:lncRNA